UGCCAGCAGCCGCGGUAAUACGUACCGGACGAACGUUAUUCGGAAUCACUGGGCUUAAAGAGUACGUAGGCUGCCAUGAAGGUGAGAUGUGAAAUCCCACGGCCUAACCGUGGAACUGCAUUUCAAACCACAUGGCUUGAGGGAGACAGGGGUAAGCGGAACUGAUGGUGGAGCGGUGAAAUGCGUUGAUAUCAUCAGGAACACCGGUGGCGAAGGCGGCUUACUGGGUCUUUUCUGACGCUGAGGUACGAAAGCUAGGGUAGCGAACGGGAUUAGAUA
rnacentral:rRNA from 1 species